rnacentral:rRNA from 1 species
ACGGGGUGCAGCAGGCGCGAAACCUCCACAAUGCGCGAAAGCGUGAUGGGGUUAUCCCGAGUGCCGUCCGAUGAGGAUGGCUUUUUAUCGAUGUAAGGAUUCGAUAGAAUAAAGGGGGGGCAAGACUGGUGUCAGCCGCCGCGGUAAUACCAGCCCCCUGAGUGGUAAGGACGAUUAUUUGGCCUAAAGCGUUCGUAGCCGGCUUAUCAAGUCUUUUGUUAAAUCCAACGAUUCAAUCGUUGGGCCGCAAAAGAUACUGUUAUGCUAGAGGACGGGAGAGGUCGACGGUAGUCCAGGGGUAGGGGUGAAAUCCUAUAAUCCUUGGAGGACCACCAGUGGCGAAGGCGGUCGACUAGAACGUGCCUGACGGUGAGGGACGAAAGCUGGGGGAGCGAACCGGAUUAGAUACCCGGGUAGUCCCAGCUGUAAACGAUGCGGGCUAGGUGUUGGGGCAGCCACGAGCUGCUCCAGUGCCGCAGAGAAGUUGUUAAGCCCGCCGCCUGGGGAGUACG